CCUACGGGAGGCAGCAGUGGGGAAUAUUGGGCAAUGGACACAAGCCUGACCCAGCAACGCCGCGUGAAGGAAGAAGGCUUUCGGGUUGUAAACUUCUUUUGUCAGGGAAGAGUAGCAGACGGUACCUGACGCAUAAUCCACGGCUAACUACGUGCCAGCAGCCGCGGUAAUACGUAGGUGGCAGGCGUUGUCCGGAUUUACUGGGUGUAAGGGGCGUGUAGGCGGGUUGACAAGUCAGAUGUGAAAUCCUGCGGCUUAACCGCAGAAGUGCAUUUGAAACUGUUGAUCUUGAGUACUGGGGCGGCAGAUGGAAUUUCUAGUGUAGCGGUGAAAUGCGUAGAUAUUA
rnacentral:rRNA from 1 species